CGCGGCGGGACCUGGAAUCUUGGAGGGAUGGUUGAGGAGUGGGCGGGGCGGAGAUCGUGUGGCGGGGGCAGAGGGCGCCACUGACGCCUACUGUCCCCCCUUCAGAUAAAUCGAUUCAUGUAAAGCUGGACGUGGGCAAGCUGCACACCCAGCCUAAGUUAGCGGCCCAGCUCAGGAUGGUGGACGACGGCUCUGGGAAGGUGGAGGUGUGGUGCAUCCAGGACUUACACAGGCAGCCUGUGGACCCCAAGCGUCAUGGACAGCUGUGUGCAGGCAACUGCUACCUUGUGCUCUAUACAUACCAGAGGCUGGGCCGUGUCCAGUACAUCCUGUACCUGUGGCAGGGCCACCAGGCCACUGCGGAUGAGAUUGAGGCCCUGAACAGCAACGCUGAGGAACUAGAUGUCAUGUAUGGUGGCGUCCUAGUACAGGAGCAUGUGACCAUGGGCAGCGAGCCCCCCCACUUCCUCGCCAUCUUCCAGGGCCAGCUGGUGAUCUUCCAGGAGAGAGCUGGGCACCAUGGAAAGGGGCAGUCAGCAUCCACCACAAGGCUUUUCCAAGUGCAAGGCACUGACAGCCACAACACCAGGACCAUGGAGGUGCCAGCCCGUGCCUCAUCCCUCAACUCCAGUGACAUCUUCUUGCUGGUCACAGCCAGCGUCUGCUACCUCUGGUUUGGGAAGGGCUGUAAUGGUGAUCAGCGUGAGAUGGCACGAGUGGUGGUCACUGUCAUUUCCAGGAAGAACGAGGAAAUGGUGCUGGAGGGUCAGGAGCCUCCCCACUUCUGGGAGGCCCUGGGAGGCCGGGCCCCCUACCCCAGCAACAAGAG
rnacentral:sRNA from 1 species